rnacentral:rRNA from 1 species
GUGAGGAAUUUUCUGCAAUGGGCGAAAGCCUGACAGAGCAAUACCGCGUGAGGGAGGAAGGCCUACGGGUUGUAAACCUCUUUUCUCAAGGAGGAAGAUAUGACGUUACUUGAGGAAUAAGCAUCGGCUAACCCUGUGCCAGCAGCCGCGGUAAUACAGGGGAUGCAAGUGUUAUCCGGAAUUAUUGGGCGUAAAGCGUCUGCAGGUGGACUUUUAAGUCUUUUGUUAAAGCUCUGGGCUUAACCUGGAAUAUGCAAAGGAAACUAUUGGUCUAGAGUAUGGUAGGGGUAAAGGGAAUUUCCAGUGGAGCGGUGAAAUGCUUAGAUAUUGGAAAGAACACCGAUGGCGAAGGCACUUUACUGGGCCAGUACUGACACUGAGAGACGAAAGCUAGGGGAGCAAACGGGAUUAGAAACCCGAGUAGUCC